CCUACGGGUGGCAGCAGUGGGGAAUAUUGCGCAAUGGGCGAAAGCCUGACGCAGCGACGCCGCGUGAGGGAUGAAGGUCUUCGGAUCGUAAACCUCUGUCAGCAGGGAAGAACGGUCACUGUGCUAAUCAGCAGUGAAUUGACGGUACCUGCAAAGGAAGCACCGGCUAACUCCGUGCCAGCAGCCGCGGUAAUACGGAGGGUGCGAGCGUUAAUCGGAAUUACUGGGCGUAAAGCGCUCGUAGGCGGUAUGUCAAGUCAAGGGUGAAAUCCCCGCGCUCAACGUGGGAACGGCCUUGGAAACUGGCAAACUGGAGUGUGUGAGAGGAUAGUGGAAUUCCAGGUGUAGGAGUGAAAUGCGUAGAUAUCUGGAGGAACAUCAGUGGCGAAGGCGACUAUCUGGCACAUAACUGACGCUGAGGAGCGAAAGCGUGGGUAGCAAACAGGAUUAGAUACCCUUGUAGUC
rnacentral:rRNA from 1 species